GGAGAAUUAGCUCAGUUGGGAGAGCGUCUGCCUUACAAGCAGAGGGUCACAGGUUCGAGCCCUGUAUUCUCCA
rfam:Lactobacillus secaliphilus strain DSM 17896 NODE_29, whole genome shotgun sequence.